AUUGAACGCUGGCGGCAGGCCUAACACAUGCAAGUCGAGCGGAUGAAGGGAGCUUGCUCCUGGAUUCAGCGGCGGACGGGUGAGUAAUGCCUAGGAAUCUGCCUGGUAGUGGGGGAUAACGUCCGGAAACGGGCGCUAAUACCGCAUACGUCCUGAGGGAGAAAGUGGGGGAUCUUCGGACCUCACGCUAUCAGAUGAGCCUAGGUCGGAUUAGCUAGUUGGUGGGGUAAAGGCCUACCAAGGCGACGAUCCGUAACUGGUCUGAGAGGAUGAUCAGUCACACUGGAACUGAGACACGGUCCAGACUCCUACGGGAGGCAGCAGUGGGGAAUAUUGGACAAGGGGCGAAAGCCUGAUCCAGCCAUGCCGCGUGUGUGAAGAAGGUCUUCGGAUUGUAAAGCACUUUAAGUGGGGAGGAAGGGCAGUAAGUUAAUACCUUGCUGUUUUGACGGUACCAACAGAAUAAGCACCGGCUAACUUCGUG
rnacentral:rRNA from 1 species